UACGUAGGGGGCAAGCGUUGUCCGGAAUCAUUGGGCGUAAAGCGCGCGUAGGCGGCCCGGUAAGUCCGUUGUGAAAGUCAAAGGCUCAACCUUUGAACGCCGAUGGGUACUGCCGGGCUAGAGUCCGGAAGAGGCGAGUGGAAUUCCUGGUGUAGCGGUGGAAUGCGCAGAUAUCAGGAGGAACACCAAUAGCGAAGGCAGCUCGCUGGGACGGUACUGACGCUGAGGCGCGGAAGCGUGGGGAGCGAACAGG
rnacentral:rRNA from 1 species